GGACUCGUAGCGCAAUGGUAGCGCGUCAGUUUUCGGUUCACAGGUUCACUGAAGGUUGCAGGUUCGAGCCCUGCCGAGUUCG
rfam:Thielavia terrestris NRRL 8126 chromosome 1, complete sequence.